rnacentral:rRNA from 1 species
UACGUAGGUGGCAAGCGUUGUCCGGAUUUACUGGGCGUAAAGAGCGCGCAGGCGGUCGAGUAAGUCGAAUGUGAAAGCCCCCCGGGCUUAACUGGGGAGGGUCAUUCGAUACUGUUCGACUUGAAGGCAGGAGAGGGCAGCAGAAUUCCCGGUGUAGUGGUGAAAUGGCGUAGAUAUCGGGGAGGAAUACCAGUGGCGAAGGCGGCUGCCUGGCCCUGUUC